rnacentral:rRNA from 1 species
AGAGUUUGAUCCUGGCUCAGGAUGAACGCUAGCUACAGGCUUAACACAUGCAAGUCGAGGGGCAGCAUAUUUGUAGCAAUACAGAUGAUGGCGACCGGCGCACGGGUGAGUAACACGUAUCCAACCUGCCGUUUACUCGGGGAUAGGCUUUCGAAAGAAAGAUUAAUACCCGAUGGUAUAGAAGAAUCGCAUGGUUUUUCUAUUAAAGAAUUUCGGUAAACGAUGGGGAUGCGUUCCAUUAGGCAGUUGGCGGGGUAACGGCCCACCAAACCUACGAUGGAUAGGGGUUCUGAGAGGAAGGUCCCCCACAUUGGAACUGAGACACGGUCCAAACUCCUACGGGAGGCAGCAGUGAGGAAUAUUGGUCAAUGGAUGAGAAUCUGAACCAGCCAAGUAGCGUGAAGGAUGACUGCCCUAUGGGUUGUAAACUUCUUUUAUAAGGGAAUAAAGUUGGCUAUGUAUAGUCAUUUGUAUGUACCUUAAGAAAAAGCAUCGGCUAACUCCGUGCCAGCAGCCGCGGUAAUACGGAGGAUGCGAGCGUUAUCCGGAUUUAUUGGGUUUAAAGGGUGCGCAGGCGGGAUCUUAAGUCAGCGGUGAAAUUUUCAGGCUCAACCUGAACACUGCCGUUGAAACUGGGAUUCUUGAGUAUAGAUGAAGUAGGCGGAAUUCGUUGUGUAGCGGUGACAUGCUUAGAUAUAACGAGGAACUCCAAUUGCGUAGGCAGCUUACUAAGCUAUAACUGACGCUCAAGCACGAAAGCGUGGGGAUCAAACAGGAUUAGAUACCCUGGUAGUCCACGCCGUAAACGAUGAUUACUAGUUGUUUGUGAUAUAUUAUAAGUGACUAAGCGAAAGCGAUAAGUAAUCCACCUGGGGAGUACGCCGGCAACGGUGAAACUCAAAGGAAUUGACGG